UACGAAGGGGGCUAGCGUUGUUCGGAAUCACUGGGCGUAAAGCGCACGUAGGCGGCUUUCUAAGUCAGGGGUGAAAUCCUGGAGCUCAACUCCAGAACUGCCUUUGAUACUGGAGAGCUAGAGUCCGGAAGAGGUGAGUGGAACUGCGAGUGUAGAGGUGAAAUUCGUAGAUAUUCGCAAGAACACCAGUGGCGAAGGCGGCUCACUGGUCCGGUGCUGACGCUGAGGUGCGAAAGCGUGGGGAGCAAACAGG
rnacentral:rRNA from 1 species